rnacentral:rRNA from 1 species
AUGAACGCUGGCGGCGUGCCUAAUACAUGCAAGUCGAACGAGGUGCUUUUGUAGCAAUACGAAGGUAUCCUAGUGGCGAACGGGUGAGUAACGCGUUGGUGACCUGCCCCAAAGUGUGGGAUAACAGUCCGAAAGGAUUGCUAAUACCGCAUGUGGUCCUCGGAUUUAGAAACCGAUGACUAAAGCCGCAAGGCGCUUUGGGAGGGACCUGCGUCCCAUCAGCUAGUUGGUGAGGUAACGGCCCACCAAGGCUACGACGGGUAGGGGACCUGAGAGGGUGGCCCCCCACAAUGGAACUGAAACACGGUCCAUACACCUACGGGUGGCAGCAGUAGGGAAUAUUGCACAAUGGGCGAAAGCCUGAUGCAGCAACGCCGCGUGAGCGAUGAAGGCCUUCGGGUCGUAAAGCUCUUUUCUGGGAGAUGAGAAAGGACAGUAUCCCAGGAAUAAGUCUCGGCUAACUACGU